rnacentral:rRNA from 1 species
CCUACGGGAGGCAGCAGUGGGGAAUAUUGGACAAUGGGGGCAACCCUGAUCCAGCAAUGCCGCGUGAGUGAUGAAGGCCUUAGGGUUGUAAAGCUCUUUUACCAGGGAUGAUAAUGACAGUACCUGGAGAAUAAGCUCCGGCUAACUCCGUGCCAGCAGCCGCGGUAAUACGGAGGGAGCUAGCGUUGUUCGGAAUUACUGGGCGUAAAGCGCACGUAGGCGGUUACUCAAGUCAGAGGUGAAAGCCCGGGGCUCAACCCCGGAACUGCCUUUGAAACUAGGUAACUAGAAUCCUGGAGAGGUGAGUGGAAUU